GUUUUAGUAAUUUAAGCAAAAUAUUGGUCUUGUAAACCAAAUAUAAGGUAUACUUCUAAAACU
rnacentral:tRNA from 1 species